rnacentral:rRNA from 1 species
GACGAAGGGGGCUAGCGUUGUUCGGAAUUACUGGGCGUAAAGCGCGCGUAGGCGGCUUCGCAAGUCGGGUGUGAAAUCCCCAGGCUUAACCUGGGAACUGCAUUCGAGACUGCGUUGCUAGAGUAUGGGAGAGGGAAGUGGAAUUUCCGGUGUAGCGGUGAAAUGCGUAGAUAUCGGAAGGAACAUCAGUGGCGAAAGCGACUUCCUGGACCAAUACUGACGCUCAUGUGCGAAAGCGUGGGGAGCAAACAGG